AAGUAAAAGUCGUAACAAGGUCUCCGUUGGUGAACCAGCGGAGGGAUCAUUACUGAGUUUACGCUCUAUAACCCUUUGUGAACAUACCUAUAACUGUUGCUUCGGCGGGUAGGGUCUCCGCGACCCUCCCGGCCUCCCGCCUCCGGGCGGGUCGGCGCCCGCCGGAGGAUAACCAAACUCUGAUUUAACGACGUUUCUUCUGAGUGGUACAAGCAAAUAAUCAAAACUUUUAACAACGGAUCUCUUGGUUCUGGCAUCGAUGAAGAACGCAGCGAAAUGCGAUAAGUAAUGUGAAUUGCAGAAUUCAGUGAAUCAUCGAAUCUUUGAACGCACAUUGCGCCCGCCAGCAUUCUGGCGGGCAUGCCUGUUCGAGCGUCAUUUCAACCCUCAAGCUCUGCUUGGUGUUGGGGCCCUACAGCUGAUGUAGGCCCUCAAAGGUAGUGGCGGACCCUCCCGGAGCCUCCUUUGCGUAGUAACUUUACGUCUCGCACUGGGAUCCGGAGGGACUCUUGCCGUAAAACCCCCCAAUUUUCCAAAGGUUGACCUCGGAUCAGGUAGGAAUACCCGCUGAACUUAAGCAUA
rnacentral:rRNA from 1 species